rnacentral:rRNA from 1 species
UACGUAGGGGGCAAGCGUUGUCCGGAAUCAUUGGGCGUAAAGAGCGUGUAGGCGGCUCGGUAAGUCCGCUCUGAAAGCCCGGGGCUCAACCCCGGGAGGCGGGCGGAUACUGUCGGGCUAGAGUCCGGAAGAGGCGAGUGGAAUUCCUGGUGUAGCGGUGAAAUGCGCAGAUAUCAGGAGGAACACCGGUGGUGUAGACGGCUCUCUGGACCGUAACUGACGCUGAGACACGAAAGCGUGGGUAGCAAACAGG